CAUCCCGGCUUACCAACCCGAUGCAAACUGCGAAUACCGGAGAAUGUUAUCACGGGAGACACACGGCGGGUGCUAACGUCCGUCGUGAAGAGGGAAACAACCCAGACCGCCAGCUAAGGUCCCAAAGUCAUGGUUAAGUGGGAAACGAUGUGGGAAGGCCCAGACAGCCAGGAUGUUGGCUUAGAAGCAGCCAUCAUUUAAAGAAAGCGUAAUAGCUCACUGGUCGAGUCGGCCUGCGCGGAAGAUGUAACGGGGCUAAACCAUGCACCGAAGCUGCGGCAGCGACACUGUGUGUUGUUGGGUAGGGGAGCGUUCUGUAAGCCUGCGAAGGUGGCCUGUGAGGGUUGCUGGAGGUAUCAGAAGUGCGAAUGCUGACAUAAGUAACGAUAAAGCGGGUGAAAAGCCCGCUCGCCGGAAGACCAAGGGUUCCUGUCCAACGUUAAUCGGGGCAGGGUGAGUCGACCCCUAAGGCGAGGCCGAAAGGCGUAGUCGAUGGGAAACGGGUUAAUAUUCCCGUACUUGGUGUUACUGCGAAGGGGGGACGGAGAAGGCUAUGUUGGCCGGGCGACGGUUGUCCCGGUUUAAGCGUGUAGGUGUGUGUUCCAGGUAAAUCCGGUUCACUUUAACACUGAGGCGUGACGACGAGGCACUACGGUGCUGAAGCAACAAAUGCCCUGCUUCCAGGAAAAGCCUCUAAGCAUCAGGUAACAUCAAAUCGUACCCCAAACCGACACAGGUGGUCAGGUAGAGAAUACCAAGGCGCUUGAGAGAACUCGGGUGAAGGAACUAGGCAAAAUGGUGCCGUAACUUCGGGAGAAGGCACGCUGACAUGUAGGUGAAGUGAUUUACUCAUGGAGCUGAAGUCAGUCG
rnacentral:rRNA from 1 species